AAGAGAAACUGGUGUCCCAGAGGCGCUCGGUGUGGGCAGGCAGGAAGCACGGCCGCACUAGAACACACCAGGUUUUCUCUUUUAACAACUCCAAAGCCAGCGCCUCUUCCAUCCAGGGGCCAGUUGUGGACUUUGGACAGAUGUAGUGCCAGGAUGACUUGAAAGUAGGGCAUCCUUGGCCCUCCUGAAGAGAAAAUUAGUGGCAGGUGUACAGUCUGUGUGGAGUUUUCAGGGUUGAAAGAAACUGCUGUCAGUAGACUUGCAUUGAAAAUUUGGAUCACGUCUCAAAUUUUAAUUGGGAAAACAAAACCCCAGAAGAAUAAAUUCUGCAUGCCCCAAAGGGAUACUAAUAGGAAGCUCAGUGCCUAGGAAUUCACACAAAAGAAAACAACCUGGAACCAAUGUGAGGAUAUGUAUUCAUUCAUUCACCAGUAUUUAUAAAGUGACUACUAAAUGCCAAGCCCUGUGGUAGACAGUAUGAAGCAGUGAAGGAAUGGAGCACAGGCCCUGCUUCAUGGGAGUUAUGAGUUCACACCAGUGUUUAGACCCACAGCAGCAGCAUCACCAGGGAACUUGUCAGGAAGACAGCUUCUCAAGCCCCAUCGAAAGGUGAGGCCCAGCCAUCUAUGUAGCAGCAAGCCCUUUGGGUAAUUUUGAUGCACAGUAAAGCUUGAGAACUGAUUUAGAGGAAGGAAAAUUUCACUGAGCUGCAGUUUCAUGGAAGAGGAAGAAUUUGAAUAGUAUCAAAGCUCACACCUGGGACGGCAUGUGAGCAAUAGAUGGUCAUCUAAAUACCACCUUGCUGAUUUCUUGUUUUUAAAAAACAAAAAAAAAUCAUGCUGUAUUUUCCCUUCAAAGAUUCACAGCCACCUCUGAGCAAAUAAAAUUAUUGAAUUUUUCAGACACUUAGAAA